AUCCUUCUGUAGUUCAUCAGCAUGAUGAUUGAAUUUUCACGGGCACAUGUGAGAUGUGCCUCCUCCAGGUUUUCUUACAUCAGCACAUUACCCAGCUCACA
ensembl:snoRNA